UUAAAAAGUAAGCUAAGUAUAAGCUGUUGGGUUCAUACCCCAAAAAUGGAGUAACCCUUUUUAAA
rnacentral:tRNA from 1 species